rnacentral:sRNA from 2 species
ACCUUUUAAUCGCUGAAUCAAUUUGAACGGGGGACCCACAAUCGAUGAAAUUCGUUUUCAUCCGGGGUGAAUCUUACUUGGUAAGAAGGGAUACUCUCCAUCCCUAAUCCGGCAGCUAACCCCGUAAGCGUUACUUUGUAAGUUG